GACAAGCCAUGAGUGAGCAAGCCAGUAAGCAGUGUUCCUCCAUGUUUCUUCUUCAGUUCCUGCCUCUGGGUUCCUGCUUUGAGUUUCUGCCCUGACCUCCCUCAAUAAUGAACUCUAAUAAGGAAAAGAGAAUAAACCCUUUACUCCUCAAGUUUUCAUGGUAACAAUCAAACUAGGAAGCAGAGAACAUAGAAAAUCUGAAACAUGUUCAUGAUUCCUGUCUUCCCAGAAAAGAACAGAAUGUGGCAUCACACUGCUGAGGAGAAUAGUAAGACUGGACUAAAUAGUAAGACUGGACUGAAGCUCAUACAAGGACAUCCUGUGCUUUUAGCAUUGUAUUUGUUAUCUAAGGAAACUUGGAGAUUCGACGCCAGAGCCUGAACAAAAGUAGACAAAGAAGACAACAAAGAUAUCCCCUCACAGCCCCAAGCACACUGAGGUGAUGGGAAGUUUGACGAAAACAUGUGGACAACGAAAGAAAAGUGUGCAGAUGGCUGCUUCUUGUUUGGGAAGACACUGUUAGGAGUUUCUCAAGAGGACCAGUAAGGCAAAGGUGAGAACCCAGGGCCUCUAUUAGUGACCCAAGCCAGCAUCUAUUUCGG
rnacentral:lncRNA from 1 species